rnacentral:rRNA from 1 species
GAUGAACGCUAGCGGGAGGCUUAAUACAUGCAAGUCGAGCGAGAACCCUACUUCGGUAGGCAGACAGCGGCGCACGGGUGAGUAACGCGUACACAAUCUACCUUUCAGAGUGGAAUAGCCCUGGGAAACUGGGAUUAAUACCGCAUAGUAUUAUUGAUUCGCAUGGAUUAAUAAUUAAAGCUUCGGUGCUGAAAGAUGAGUGUGCGUACUAUUAGCUAGUUGGUAAGGUAACGGCUUACCAAGGCUACGAUAGUUAGGGGGCGUGAGAGCGUGACCCCCCACACGGGUACUGAGACACGGACCCGACUCCUACGGGAGGCAGCAGUAAGGAAUAUUGGACAAUGGGCGCAAGCCUGAUCCAGCCAUCCCGCGUGGAGGAUGACUGCCCUAUGGGUUGUAAACUCCUUUUAUAAGAGAAGAAACCUGGAGAUUUAUCUCCAGCUGACGGUAUCUUAUGAAUAAGCACCGGCUAACUCCG